UACAGAGGGUGCAAGCGUUGUUCGGAAUUACUGGGCGUAAAGCGCGUGUAGGCGGCGGCGUAAGUCGGGUGUGAAAUCCCUCAGCUCAACUGAGGAAGUGCACUCGAUACUGUGUCGCUUGAAUGUCGGAGGGGAUGGCGGAAUUCCCGGUGUAGAGGUGAAAUUCGUAGAUAUCGGGAGGAACACCUGUGGCGAAGGCGCCAUCUGGACGACAAUGACGCUGAGACGCGAAAGCGUGGGUAGCAAACAGG
rnacentral:rRNA from 1 species